GGGUAGCGCAACUGGUUAGAGCAUGGUGCUGAUAACGCCAAGGUUGCAGGUUUGAUCCCCAUAAAGGACAGCUCCA